UGUCUUUUUCUAUUUUCCGGCGUCUUUUCCCUUCGAAACAGACGUGCUUCAAGUCAAUUUGCCAUAUAGGGCCUGGACAUGCAUGUGCUCGCACACGCGCAGGUUCCAAUGCCCAAACUUAGCUUACCUAAAGUGAGAAAGAGGGCUCUGCUUUGCUUUAUUGGAAUGUUUGCUUUGGCUUACUUCCUAGAGUACCAUGUCGGAACAAUCCAUGCCCUUCGGCAGCUGGAGGUCUUUUUUUCAAGAAGAAAGGUUACUGGAUUGGGGCUUUCCCCCUAUAGGAUUAGUAAUUCUUCGUCCGUCUCGGCAGCAACUUGACCCGAUUCUCUAUUCAAUUCAUCCCUAUCCCUAUACGAGUUGAUGUCAGGUGGAACCCUGAACUCUCAGGCGAUGGCUUCAAUUUCAAAGACAAUAUAUGCGGAAAUUCCGUUUCCGCAUGGUGUCACGGCAUCAAGCUAUAUUUAAGAAGAAGCAGGGGUCGUCGAACCAACAUCUCCUCUCUCUCCCCUUACCCUGUUUCAAGAUGAAUCCCAUGACAGAGUUUCUAAAGUCGCCAUUGCUGGUUAAGUUCGGACUGCUGCUUUUGGGGUGCCUGGCGAUAGUUGUGAUCGCGGUAGUCCUGGUGAAAAUCCUGAAGCCCUCCCGAUAUACCUGCCGGGCGGAUGGUGACACGAACUGAGGAGGAGUGAAGCAAAGAUGAAGAAUAUUUGAAUUUUGUGAUUGUAAUCUUGUGAUUCAAUUGCAAGGUUGAUUAUUGAUUUUCUGAAUAU